AAAUUGAAGAGUUUGAUCAUGGCUCAGAUUGAACGCUGGCGGCAGGCCUAACACAUGCAAGUCGAACGGUAGCACAGAGAGCUUGCUCUCGGGUGACGAGUGGCGGACGGGUGAGUAAUGUCUGGGAAACUGCCUGAUGGAGGGGGAUAACUACUGGAAACGGUAGCUAAUACCGCAUAACGUCGCAAGACCAAAGAGGGGGACCUUCGGGCCUCUUGCCAUCAGAUGUGCCCAGAUGGGAUUAGCUAGUAGGUGGGGUAACGGCUCACCUAGGCGACGAUCCCUAGCUGGUCUGAGAGGAUGACCAGCCACACUGGAACUGAGACACGGUCCAGACUCCUACGGGAGGCAGCAGUGGGGAAUAUUGCACAAUGGGCGCAAGCCUGAUGCAGCCAUGCCGCGUGUAUGAAGAAGGCCUUCGGGUUGUAAAGUACUUUCAGCGGGGAGGAAGGCGAUAAGGUUAAUAACCUUGUCGAUUGACGUUACCCGCAGAAGAAGCACCGGCUAACUCCGUGCCAGCAGCCGCGGUAAUACGGAGGGUGCAAGCGUUAAUCGGAAUUACUGGGCGUAAAGCGCACGCAGGCGGUCUGUCAAGUCGGAUGUGAAAUCCCCGGGCUCAACCUGGGAACUGCAUUCGAAACUGGCAGGCUAGAGUCUUGUAGAGGGGGGUAGAAUUCCAGGUGUAGCGGUGAAAUGCGUAGAGAUCUGGAGGAAUACCGGUGGCGAAGGCGGCCCCCUGGACAAAGACUGACGCUCAGGUGCGAAAGCGUGGGGAGCAAACAGGAUUAGAUACCCUGGUAGUCCACGCCGUAAACGAUGUCGACUUGGAGGUUGUGCCCUUGAGGCGUGGCUUCCGGAGCUAACGCGUUAAGUCGACCGCCUGGGGAGUACGGCCGCAAGGUUAAAACUCAAAUGAAUUGACGGGGGCCCGCACAAGCGGUGGAGCAUGUGGUUUAAUUCGAUGCAACGCGAAGAACCUUACCUACUCUUGACAUCCAGAGAACUUUCCAGAGAUGGAUUGGUGCCUUCGGGAACUCUGAGACAGGUGCUGCAUGGCUGUCGUCAGCUCGUGUUGUGAAAUGUUGGGUUAAGUCCCGCAACGAGCGCAACCCUUAUCCUUUGUUGCCAGCGGUUAGGCCGGGAACUCAAAGGAGACUGCCAGUGAUAAACUGGAGGAAGGUGGGGAUGACGUCAAGUCAUCAUGGCCCUUACGAGUAGGGCUACACACGUGCUACAAUGGCGCAUACAAAGAGAAGCGACCUCGCGAGAGCAAGCGGACCUCAUAAAGUGCGUCGUAGUCCGGAUUGGAGUCUGCAACUCGACUCCAUGAAGUCGGAAUCGCUAGUAAUCGUAGAUCAGAAUGCUACGGUGAAUACGUUCCCGGGCCUUGUACACACCGCCCGUCACACCAUGGGAGUGGGUUGCAAAAGAAGUAGGUAGCUUAACCUUCGGGAGGGCGCUUACCACUUUGUGAUUCAUGACUGGGGUGAAGUCGUAACAAGGUAACCGUAGGGGAACCUGCGGUUGGAUCACCUCCUUACCUUAAAGAA
rnacentral:rRNA from 1 species